UGAGAGGGACUUAGUAGCCACGUUAUUUAUUUGUCCGUUGGCUUGGCUCCUGCAUCUUUGUACCUCUCAACCCAACUGAAGCGUCAUUAUAAUCGGCUACUUUAUGAGAACGUUUCACUAGUAGCUAGCUAACGUUAGCUACGUUUCAUAAAAACUCAACAGCUAUCAACUACUGUAUGCUGUUAGAUACAUUUUUAAAAAGUGCUGAUAAAAUAUAUGUCCCAAUGAAGUUGUUUUUGUCUGUCUGAUUUUACUGGACAAAGUGAAUUGGGUCGGUGGUUCAAGGGGAGUUUGACAGCUAGCUAGCUAACGUUAGCUUCGUUAGCACUUUUGCAGAUGUACUUGUUGACAGUCUGGGUGGAACGAGUUUUAGAAAACCUGCUUGUUAGCGAAUAUUCAACAUGAACUUUCUAUUUCGUUGUCAGAUAACAUUACAACUGUUACAUAACUGUUACUAUUUAACAAAAAUAUUCUCUUGACCCCCUUUUUAAUAUCAAUUUUAACUUGAUUUUCCAUUAUGAAUAUUAACGUUACAGGAACCGGUUUAUGAUGAGAAAUGACAUGAAAAAGCAGAGGGUAAAUAAGGUACCAUAUUGUAUAUAUUAUAAUACAGUAUAUGUGACAUGAUAAUACAUAUGCCCACAUUUUAUCAGGAAUUCUUUGAUAAGAAAAUGCAGAGAAAGAUGAAAACCUUAGGAAUACCAACCUCUCCUGAAGGAGCCAGCUCUGGAAGUAUGUACCUGGUGACUUUAUUCAUAGUAAACCAGAUUGCUGCAAAGAAAGAAAACAAUGAUCAGCCAAAGAUAACUCGCAUCACUGAUGAUAAGGGAGGACCCAAGUCAAUGAGGGAGGGGCUUCUGGAGUUACCCAUGAGCCCUUGCUCCCCAUCACCUCUUUCCCUUGUGGAGAGCCAGCCUUUGUACAGUGUCCAGGCUGCUAGAAAGAGAAAGCACUGCAUUCCUGAUGGAUUCAAGUAUAGACAGAUACAGUAAGCUUCGUGGAAAUGAUGACUCAACCAUGUGACAUUUGGCUGGUUCAUUGAUUGUUGCUCUCAGCUCUCACCAGUGCUGGAGUCAAACAUGUCAGACACCAGUACGUCAGACUACCAGCAACACAUCACCCUGAGCCCCUUCUCCUCGGCAUCGUCGUCAGUCUACUCCUCAGGGGCAGACAUGUUCUCCCUCCAGCAGAGAGCACAGGUCCAGCCACAGCCACACUGCUCCCCUAGACCACCCUGGGAUAUCUCCACCUCAGAGCAAACACAGCCAGGAGGGAGGAGAGAGUGUGCCUCGUGGGCCACAGGACCAAGUGGACCCAAACAGCAGCUGAGCAUGACCCCCCCCCCAGUAUCCAAAGUAUGGUUUGGGGGCACAGAGCCUGAGUGAGUACUGAACUGAAAUAUCAAAGAUGUGUUUUUACCUGAUAUGCAGCAAAUCAUUUUCUUUAUCCGUCUUCUGUUCAUUCCUUUUUU